rnacentral:misc_RNA from 1 species
AAGUCGUAACAAGGUUUCCGUAGGUGAACCUGCGGAAGGAUCAUUAACACGUAUCCACGUACCUACCCACCCCAUCUCUGUGAACCACCGGUCACGAACCUCGAGCGUACGGUCUUCCGGCAACGGAUUCCGUGCCUUGUUCGUUUCCACUUUUUUUUCACCCCAUUGUUGACUCUCCGUUUUGAACCCCCCCGAGUGGCCUGAUCCAACGUGUCCCUAGUGGACCCGAACCAUAUGGAUUUUCCAAAUGAGUUUACACAGCACAACUCUUAGCAAUGGAUAUCUUGGUUCUC